rnacentral:rRNA from 1 species
GACGAACGCUGGCGGCGUGCCUAAUACAUGCAAGUUGAGCGAUGAAGCUUGGUGCUUGCACCAAUUUGAAGAGCAGCGAACGGGUGAGUAACGCGUGGGGAAUCUGCCUUUGAGCGGGGGACAACAUUUGGAAACGAAUGCUAAUACCGCAUAACAACUUUAAACAUAAGUUUUAAGUUUGAAAGAUGCAAUUGCAUCACUCAAAGAUGAUCCCGCGUUGUAUUAGCUAGUUGGUGAGGUAAAGGCUCACCAAGGCGAUGAUACAUAGCCGACCUGAGAGGGUGAUCGGCCACAUUGGGACUGAGACACGGCCCAAACUCCUACGGGAGGCAGCAGUAGGGAAUCUUCGGCAACGGACGAAAGUCUGACCGAGCAACGCCGCGUGAGUGAAGAAGGGUUUCGGAUCGUAAAACUCUGUUGGUAGAGAAGAACGUUGGUGAGAGUGGAAAGCUCAUCAAGUGACGGUAACUACCCAGAAAGGGACGGCUAACUACGUG